UACGUAGGUGGCAAGCAUUGUCCGGAUUUACUGGGCGUAAAGAGCGCGCAGGCGGUCGUGCAAGUCGCGUGUGAAAGCCCCCGGCUCAACUGGGGAGGGUCACGCGAUACUGCUCGACUCGAAGGCAGGAGAGGGAAGUGGAAUUCCCGGUGUAGUGGUGAAAUGCGUAGAUAUCGGGAGGAACACCAGUGGCGAAGGCGACUUCCUGGCCUGUUCUUGACGCUGAGGCGCGAAAGCUAGGGUAGCAAACGGG
rnacentral:rRNA from 1 species